UGGGGGAUAUUGCACAAUGGGCGAAAGCCUGAUGCAGCGACGCCGCGUGGGGGAUGAAGGCUUUCGGGUUGUAAACCUCUUUCGCUAUCGAACAAGGCCCGCUUAGGGUGGGUUGAGGGUAGGUGGAGAAGAAGCGCCGGCUAACUACGUGCCAGCAGCCGCGGUAAUACGUAGGGCGCGAGCGUUGUCCGGAAUUAUUGGGCGUAAAGGGCUUGUAGGCGGCUUGUUGCGCCUGCUGUGAAAACGCGGGGCUUAACUUCGCGCGUGCAGUGGGUACGGGCAGGCUUGAGAGUGGUAGGGCUGACUGGAAUUCCAGGUGUAGCGGUGGAAUGCGCAGAUAUCUGGAGGAACACCGAUGGCGAAGGCAGGUCACUAGGCCAUUACUGACGCUGAGGAGCGAAAGCAUGGGUAGCGAACAGG
rnacentral:rRNA from 1 species